ACCCGUAUGGGAAAAUGCAUUAUUCUGUGCGGGCGUCUUAAACCGACCACACGGGGUAAUGCAUUUUCCUGUGCGGGC
rnacentral:pre_miRNA from 11 species